UUUGAGAUGAUGGAGCGUACUCAAGACUCAUCAUUUUAUUAUUUUGAUUUACGUUAUAUUUUUGGUGUCUAAAACUGUACAGAACACGCAUGUAUUAAAUUUAUAUAUUUAAUGCAAUGGAUGAUGUUGUUUGCCUAUUUACAUUUACUGUGUUGUGAUUACCUUACAUGACGUCCUCCGCCCCAGAACGUUUCCGCCGUUCUUGGUUUUGGGGUGUGACAGAUUGGUAUCAGAGCAUUGUUUAUAGUGAAUUGAGUAUAUCAACCCAUAAAAGAUAUACUAAACUAUAAACCCAUUGGGGAUUAAACUCUGACCAAGAGUCUAUACUUAAAAUAAUAAAAUAUUUAACUAAGUAUACUAGUCUGCAUUCAUACUAAAAUAAGUGUCACAAUGACAAGAACAAAAGUAUUACGAUUGUUAAAUAUCACAAGUGAGCUCGGGGAUGUAUGGUCAGUCCUGGGAAUGGCAUAGCCUGAUCAACUAUGCUGAUCCUAGGAGUGAUUAGCACAUGCCUUAGAAUGGUUGUGAUAGGUUAGCAAGUCUAAAAACUUACCAACAAUACCACAAGAAGAUCAAUAGAACUUAAACUUAAAAUACUAUAGGAGUAUUUUGCGCUACUAGUUACACGUAUACUAUAUUCUUAUACCUCUAUUCUCGCGUAGAUCUUGAUGGCUAGAUAUCCAUCAUGGCGACCCGUACUUUCCCAAUGAAGGCAAUGCCGGGUGGAUCGAUGAAGAGCCCGAAGUUGAUCAUCCAAUCCCUUUGGAUGAUCACCUCGCAGAAGGCUUUUCAGAUGGGUCCGACUCCGAGCCUGAAGUCAACAACCUACCGAUUGUAGGUCAAGCCCCGAACAACAACCCUCGACCAGCGUUUCCAGGUCCUACACCCAUGUGGGCAAACAACCGAACCGCUGGAGUGAUGAUCAGGGUCAACCCUUACCAUACUUUGGGGACCGAACCUUUUACAACGUCAGCGAUGGUGGCUCUACUGACCGAGCUCUGCCUGUCAUUAUCCGCAGAAUAGCUCGUAUUGUCGAGCAAGGUGGAGCAGCCGUCGACCGGGUCAUAGAGAUUGAUGCCGACUCAGGUGUCAACACAGUCAGCAUCCGCCGUCUUGAAGAAGACAUGGAACGGACCCGGAGGACAAAUAAAACCCUGCAGUAGCAGUUGGCUGCCUCACGAGCUGAAAUAUUGGAACUUCGAGCUCGUCAGAGGACUCAGGAUCGACCCAUUCAAGAGGUGUUUCGUCAAGUAUCCGACCGCAGUACUCGCCCGGGAUUUUCCCAUCGCCGUUGGUUGAUGUCUAGUACAGCUCCGUCUUUUAAUUAAAGGAUAGCCUUUAACAUCUGUGCUCCAAGUAGCGCUUGUGUGUAAAAUGUUUCUAACUUCCGUACUCAAAUUUGAAAUCUAAGGACUGUCAAACUUUUCUAUAUGGUAUGAUGUAUGACCUACUGUUAGGUCGAUUUUCCCUGAACUUAUUACAUCAGUAAUACCAGUAAAUUUUUGAGAUCUAUCUAUCUGGGGAAAAAUCUAUACACUUGUGCUUUCCUACUAAUAAUGCUUGUUGUGGUUUCAAGCACCCUUUCAACUGUUGGACUAUGUUUAGUUAGUCCAUGUGUCACUCUCGCGUUGCUUACAAAUUGAUUCUUACCAUCUUUCUUAUCUUUUUAAACUUUCAGCUGAAGGAUGCCUCCUCGCAAGUCUCCCAGGAAUAGGAAUAAUCCUGCACCUCCACCACCUCCUCCGCCUCCGGUCAUCGAUACUGUAGCCCUGAAUGCUGUUGUAGCUGCAGCAGUGGCAACUGCCAUGGCUCAGUAUCACUCUUCUGAUGCCAGCAGAGGUGGAACCCCUGUGGAAUCUAUUCCGAUCGAAAUCCCUGUGCGCUCAAGGGAGUGCUCUUACAAGGAUUUUACAAACUGCAAGCCGAAGCCUUUCUAUGGCACCGGCGGAGUCAUUGCUCUCUCGCAGUGGUUCGAGAAGACUGAAUCAGUCUUCGAAAUUUGUUCAUGCCCUGCUGCGUGCAAGGUGAAAUAUGCCGCCUGCACCUUUGAGGGUAAAGCCCUAACGUGGUGGAACGGCCACGUCAAAGCCCUAACUCUCGUCGUAGCCAACGACAUGGGCUGGGAAACAAUGAAAGACCUCAUGACUGAGGAAUACUGCCCGAGGGGCGAGAUCCAGAAACUGGAGCAGGAACUCUGGAACCUGUCGAUGAAGGGCACCAAUGUGGUCGCUUAUACUGCCCGAUUCAGCGAGCUGGUGGCCCUCUGCCCCAAUAUGGUUCCCACCGAGGGGAAGAAGAUCGAGAGGUACAUAUGGGGACUAGUGCCUCCGUAUCAGGGGAAUGUGCUAGCGUCAAACCCCGCUACCUUCGACAGUGCCAAACGAUUGGCACAACGACUCAUUGACCAUGGAGUCAAAACCCCUGCAACCACAACCACCCUAGCCAUCCCGGAACCCUCCAAACCCGCCGAUACUAAGCGGAAAUUCUGGGAUGAAAGGAAGAAGCAUCAGGCUGCCAAAAAGCAGCAAUUGGUGGCAAUUCAUGCCGCAGUAACCCCUACUGCUGCUACUACUGCUCCGGUGAGUCGGUAUGCUGGAAGUUCGCCCAAGUGCAACAAAUGCAGCUACCACCACAACGGCCCCUGCCGUGAAUUGCAGUGCUCUAACUGCAACAGGAAAGGACACACCGUCCGAUUCUGUAAGUUCCCGGCACAACCUAUCAACCAAGUCCCUGGCUCUGGCGCGAGCCCAACCUGCUAUGGAUGUGGCGAAGCAGGCCACUUUAAGAGGGACUGCCCCAAAGCGAGGAAUGCUGGAGGAGCAGGGAGGGUACUGGCUAUAGGCCACGGGGAAGCAGUUGCUGACCCGACAGUAGUAACCGGUACGUUCCUCCUCGAUAACUCCUAUGCAUGCAUUCUAUUCGAUAGUGGAGCGGAGCGAAGCUUCGUAAACCAUAAAUUUGCUCGCAUGCUUAAUCAACCACCGCACGCACUCAAAGAACUAUUUACAGUAGAAAUGGCUAAUGGAAAAACUGAAAAUACGAGUAGCAUAUACUUAGGUUGUACCCUAACCCUAGACAACCAUUCAUUUCCAAUCGACCUCAUGCCAGUCUCAAUAAAAAGUUUCGACGUCAUCAUUGGCAUGGACUGGUUAAGCCUUCAUCGUGCCGACAUCAUGUGCUUCGAGAAAGCAGUCCGUCUAAACCUUCCGUCUAACGAAACUCUUAUAGUCUAUGGCGACAAACCCGGUGCAAGUCUUCGCAUCAUAUCAAGUAUUCAAGCACAGAAAUACCUGCGUAAGGAAUACCACGCAUUCCUUGCUCACGUCGUCGACACGAACCUAGAAACGAAAGAACUAAAGAACCUCCCAGUAGUGAGCGACUUCCCCGACAUUUUCCCAGAAGAACUACCCGGAUUACCUCCGCAACGACAAGUCGAGUUCAGAAUCGACUUAGUCCCAGGAGCUACCCCAGUAGCCAAGUCGCCCUACCGUUUAGCACCAGCCGAGAUGCAAGAACUCUCUGGUCAACUUAACGAACUGCUCAGCAAGGGCUUUAUAAGGCCAAGUUUCUCACCUUGGGGAGCACCGGUCUUGUUUGUUAAGAAGAAGGACGGAUCCUUCCGUAUGUGUAUUGACUACAGAGAACUCAACAAACUGACGGUCAAGAAUCGUUAUCCUCUACCACGCAUAGAUGAUCUAUUCGACCAACUGCAAGGGGCGAACUAUUUUUCUAAGAUUGAUCUGAGAUCCGGAUAUCACCAGUUACGAGUGCUAGAGGAGGAUGUGCCGAAGACCGCCUUCCGAACUCGUUACGGACAUUACGAGUUCGUGGUGAUGCCAUUCGGAUUGACCAAUGCGCCCGCAGUCUUCAUGGAUCUGAUGAAUAGAGUAUGCCGACCCUACUUGGAUCAGUUCGUCAUCGUUUUCAUUGACGACAUCCUAAUCUACUCCCGAAGUAAGAAAGAACAUGGCGAUCAUCUGCGACAAGUUCUAGGGACAUUACGAAAAGAGAAACUUUAUGCGAAGUUCUCGAAAUGUGAAUUUUGGAUCCGAAGAGUCGAAUUCUUAGGACACGUGGUAAGCGAAGAGGGAAUCCACGUGGACCCAUCCAAAAUUAAGGCCAUUGAGAACUGGUCAGCACCGAAGACUCCUACAGAAAUUCGUCAAUUUCUAGGUCUCGCUGGCUACUACCGCAGGUUCAUUCAGAACUUCUCACGAAUAGCGAAGCCUCUUACAACCCUAACCCAGAAAGGUGUGGCCUUUGACUGGGAAGAGAAACAAGAAAGAGCGUUCCAAACGCUCAAACGAGCCUUGUGCACCGCACCAAUACUAUCCCUUCCCGAAGGAAUAGAAGACUUCGUAGUUUAUUGCGAUGCAUCAAACCAAGGACUCGGAUGUGUUCUGAUGCAGCGAGGUAAGGUCAUCGCCUACGCCUCAAGACAAUUGAAGACACACGAGGUUAACUACACGACCCACGAUCUUGAACUAGGAGCAGUAGUGUUUGCUCUGAAGAUCUGGAGACAUUACUUGUAUGGAACGAAGAGCACUAUCUUUACCGACCACAAGAGUUUACAACACAUUUUCGAUCAGAAGGAGCUCAACAUGAGACAACGACGAUGGGUCGAGCUACUCAGUGAUUACGAAUGCGAUAUUCGUUAUCAUCCGGGUAAAGCCAACGUAGUAGCAGACGCCCUAAGUCGGAAGGAAUAUUCUGGUCGCAAAGUCAAGUCAUUAUCGAUAACCAUCCAUUCACACCUGACUAAGCAAAUUCAGGCGGCUCAACUUGAGGCCAUGAAAUCUGAAAAUGUGUCAAGUGAAUCCCUUAGAGGAAUGGACAAGAAUUUAGAAGCCAAGGGUGACGGAGCUUUAUAUUUCAUGAACCGGAUCUGGACACCGAAACAUGGUGGCUUCCGAGACUUGGUCAUGACCGAGGCGCACAACACUCGGUAUUCCGUCCACCCAGGUUCAGAUAAGAUGUAUCUGGAUCUUAAGAAGCUAUACUGGUGGCCUAAUAUGAAAGCAGAGAUUGCUACCUUCGUAAGUAAAUGCCUUACUUGCGCAAAGGUUAAGGUCGAGUACCAGAAGCCCUCUGGUUUAUUGCAGCAACCAGAGAUCCCGGAAUGGAAGUGGGAGCGGAUCACUAUGGAUUUCAUAACCAAGUUGCCCAAGACAACGGGUGGACUUGACACCAUAUGGGUCAUCGUUGAUAGAUUGACCAAGUCUGCACACUUCCUGCCUAUCAAAGAAACCGACAAGAUGGAGAAGCUUACGAGAACAUACAUUAGGGAAAUCGUACGGCUACAUGGUGUACCUAUGUCCAUUAUCUCCGAUAGAGAUAGUAGGUUCACCUCAAGAUUUUGGCAAUCACUACAACAUUCCCUAGGAACGAGGCUGGACAUGAGCACAGCCUACCAUCCUCAGACCGACGGACAGAGUGAGAGGACCAUCCAAACUCUAGAAGAUAUGUUGCGAGCCUGCGUGAUUGACUUUGGGAAGGCAUGGGAUACUCAUUUACCCCUUGUCGAGUUUUCCUAUAAUAACAGUUAUCACACGAGCAUCAAGGCUGCUCCAUUUGAAGCUCUCUACGGCCGUAAGUGCAGAUCCCCUCUGUGCUGGGCUGAGGUGGGUGAUACCCAAUUAGCCAGGGGGCAAACUUCCGACAGUACUCUCACCGGUCCGGAGAUCAUUCGGGAAACAACAGAGAAAAUCGUUCAGAUCCGUGAACGAUUGAAAGCCUCUAGAGACCGACAGAAGAGCUACGCUGAUAAACGAAGGAAACCUUUGGAAUUUCAGGUGGGAGACCGAGUCCUCCUCAAAGUCUCACCCUGGAAGGGCUUGAUACGCUUCGGCAAGCGUGGAAAGCUUAAUCCGAGGUACAUAGGGCCUUUCGAGAUUCUUGCAAGAGUCGGCCCCGUAGCUUACAAACUCGAACUACCAGACGCACUUCGUAACGUACAUUCUACAUUCCACGUAUCUAACUUGAAAAAGUGUCUAUCCGACGAGACUCUUGUAAUCCCACUCGACGAGAUCGAAAUCAACGAGAGCCUCAACUUCGUGGAAGAACCUAUAGAGAUCAUGGACCGUGAGGUCAAGCAGACAAAGCAAAGCCGUAUCCCUAUCGUGAAGGUUCGCUGGAAUGCCAAGCGAGGACCGGAAUUCACUUGGGAACGUGAGGAUCAGAUGAAACUGAAAUACCCUCACCUUUUUGCUUAGUUAUUUGUAAAUUCUAGCUUGCUUAAAAUUCUAAUUUCGGGACGAAAUUCCUUCUAACGGGGGGAUGAUGUGACAACCCGAUAUUUCGAGUCAAUGUAAUGUAAAACCGAUCAAAUUUAGGUCAAAAUGUAACCUUCCUAAAAUCUUAUUCGGAUUAAAUAAAGUAAUAGGAAUCAUAUCAAGGUUUGCGUACAUAAAAAGAACGUCCAAAUCUGACUUCGGAUGAGGAAGUUAUGAAUUUUUGAAGAAAUUCCUUAAUCACGUCAUUUUAAUAAAUAAAUAAUAAAAAUAAUUUCGGAAUUUGCCAACGGAAUCUAAACGAAAGUCGUAGAUCAUGGUCUCACCUUCGCGUGGAUAUAAAGAACGUCAAAAACGGAGUUCGUAUGAGAGAGAUAUGAAUUUUUGAAGUUUAUUUAAAAUAAAUAAGAAUUUAAUUAUAAAUUCCCGGUAAUAUCCGAAGGGGAGUCAUCGGAUUGGACCGAAGUACGCCCUGCGUACCUUCGUACGCCCCGCGUACUGAGAUCGAGGGUCUCGGAUCGUCCACGUCGCACUAUCCGAAGAGUUCUAACCCGUCCGACCCGUCCGAAGCUCCGACCCGUCCGACCCGCUGUCCCGUCCGACCCGCCGUCCCAUCCGACCCGCGUACCCAGCAACCCGUCCCAUCCGAACCGAGGCAGUCGAGGCUUCGGUCAUGCAUGACGUACGCGUACGCGCUGCGUACGAGCGUACGCCCCGCGUUCGGAGGCGGUUCAGCCUUCCUAUAAAUAGGAUGCGAGGCUUUCCGAAAAUGUUGCUCAUUUCUCUCCUCUCUCUCACAACUUUGUCUCGUUUUCCGUGCCCGUUAUAACCCGAAGCUCUGGUCUUUUUGCUCAAGUCCCGAGGGUCGAUUUUACUCCCGAGAUUCCCGAGAAUCCCGAGAAAAAUCCGUUUUCCGAGACGAAACUCUGCCCGGUUUUCCAUCUCGCUUUCUUCAAUCAAUCAAGUGAGUUUCAUACCCCUUAAUCAACCUGUUAAAUAUUCUAAAUGCUUUUAUAUGCUUUCAAAAGGGGGGGAAUGCAAGUUAAAUACUUAUAGUUAUUGUUUCAAUCACAUGUGAUUGUACUAAUCACAUGUGAUUAAUAACUAGGGAAAUCAGUGGUUUUAUCACUAUUCAAACUAUCUAUCAAACUGUUUUACUUCUAAAUGUUUUCCAAACCCAUUUACUUUUCGAAUUUACACUGCAACUGUGAUUUAAGCAAAUGUUCCUUAUACUUAAACUGUUUUAAUCAAAUCUACACCUUCAAAUGGUUUUAUAGAUUGACAUCAAGUCAAUCUUUCUUUAAAAAUAAUACUUAUGUUUCAAAUGCCUUAUAAAUACUUAUUUAUGCUUUUAUAUUACAAAUUGCAUGCCCAUAUAUGUAUAGACGUAUAAAUAAUGUUUAAAGGACUUAGGAAGGCUAUCCACCUUGUUUCCUUUUCCUCGAUUUGGAUGUGGUCUGAUAGGAUUUUGGGUGACCAUCCGAAGGUCGUUUCCAUAUUAAUUAUAUAUCAAAUAUACAUAUAUAGACAUGAAAGUACUUCCAUAAUCAUAUGUACUAAACGCACUGUUAACAAGUUACCAUCGGGGUAACACAGAAUCAUACUAUUACAACUGCUAGAUCAAUGAGUCAGUUCAUUCAUGAGUCUAUACUAGGAAGAGAAUAUAUACAACUAUACUACGAGAACAUAUACAACUAUACUAGAACAAGAAACAUUUCAUCACACAUGCAAGAAUACGAUAACAAAUGUGAUCCACUGUAUCGGAGCAUGCCUUAAAUGUCAUGGCCCGAGUUGUAGCCAGAAUUCUCUUGGAGGGAGAGCGUUGAGUUUGCGUAUAGAUCUAUACUGGAUUGACUAUCCUACACCUUGCUGCUAGCUACAGCCGGACCUGCAGGUCUGCGGGUGCCAAACGUCAUUCCGUUAUUACGACCGUUCUUUAUGUCGUUGUUAUCAGUCGAUAGUAUGGUGCAAUUAUCACAUUAUACCUUAAUAUAAAUCCGGUUUAAGGUAGUAGUAAUCAGUACAACAGUAGUUCUUAUUAUACAAAACUACAGUACUACAAUGAUUUACCCAUUACAUAUUUUGGUGAUAAUCUCACUUAAGCAUUAAUGUACAAACUAUAUUUUAUCAAAUGAUAGUUAUACUUGGGUAAUCACACACUUUUACAACAGACGAGUUUACAAAACAGUUAAGCCUUGGUAGAAGGUUACUAUUAUAGAAAAUAUAGGAUUUUCUGAGAGAUUCAAACUUUUGCAAAUACUUUUAAACAUUUAUUUACAUUUUUACAAACUUAUACAUUGGGACAAGUUCAAACGUUUUUGAAAAUGAACAUUGACACUAAAAUACUUAUGAACUCACCAGCUUAAUGCUGAUAAACUCUUUCAAAAUAACUUGUAUUCUCAGGUCAUCAGUAGACAGGUACCGAUGCCAGCUUUUGAGAUGAUGGAGCGUAUUCAAGACUCAUCAUUUUGUUAUUUUGAUUUAGGUUAUAUUUUUUGUGUCUAAAAUUUUACAGAACACACAUGUAUUAAAUUUAUAUAUUUAAUGCAAUGGAUGAUGUUGCUUGCCUAUUUACAUUUACUGUGUUGUGAUUACCUUACAUGACGUCCUCCGCCCCAGAACGUUUCCGCCGUUCUUGGUUUUGGGGUGUGACAUAAUAUCAUAUGAAGAC
rnacentral:lncRNA from 1 species